UACGUAGGGUCCGAGCGUUCUUCGGAAUGACUGGGCGUCAAGGGCACGUAGGCGGUGAAUCGGGUUGAAAGUGAAAGUCGCCAAAAAGUGGCGGAAUGCUCUCGAAACCAAUUCACUUGAGUGGGACAGAGGAGAGUGGAAUUUCGUGUGUAGGGGUGAAAUCCGUAGAUCUACGAAGGAAGGCCAAAAGCGAAGGCAGCUCUCUGGGUCCCUACCGACGCUGGGGUGCGAAAGCAUGGGGAGCGAACAGG
rnacentral:rRNA from 1 species